AAGUCGUAACAAGGUUUCCGUAGGUGAACCUGCGGAAGGAUCAUUUCCAAAAAAGCAUUGCCUUAUUAUAUACACCUUUUGGUGUGUGAACAGUUGGUUUAGAAAAAUCAUUUUUACUCUCGAAGCGGAUUAACAUCUCGAAUGUUACUGUGGAGAGAGGCCUUGAUGAACCCACAUCCUUUUUGUUUAUAUUGCGAGUGCAAACUCCAAUAUCUACAAAGGGACGUUAACAUAAAGUCUACACUAUAUUUCUAAGUCAAAAAGACUUAUUGUAUGUACAAUAUGUCAAUUUACUCUAGUAAAUAUACGACAACUUUUAACGGUGGAUCUCUUGGCUCGU
rnacentral:misc_RNA from 1 species